rnacentral:SRP_RNA from 1 species
UGUUUCUGAAUGUGGUAUAAUAUCAAUAUCUGAUUCGGAUUUCUGUAUCAGUCGGAAUUUUUUUUCCGGAAAAGCUCCGGAAUAUAGGUGUGCGGGUCCUGUGCAAUGAAGCACCGUGAACCAUGUCAGGCGGGAGACCGAGCAGCAUUAAGCGGAUCGUUUUGUGUGCCGCAGUAAACCUGCACACCUAUGUUCCGGAUUUUUUAUGUGAAAAA